UGGAGUCUCUGGUACCUGCUUGACAUCU
rnacentral:piRNA from 1 species